rnacentral:rRNA from 1 species
AUACGUAGGGUGCGAGCGUUGUCCGGAAUUAUUGGGCGUAAAGGGCUCGUAGGCGGUUUGUCACGUCGGGAGUGAAAUCUCAGGGCUCAACCCUGAGCCUGCUUCCGAUACGGGCAGACUAGAGGUAUGCAGGGGAGAACGGAAUUCCUGGUGUAGCGGUGAAAUGCGCAGAUAUCAGGAGGAACACCGGUGGCGAAGGCGGUUCUCUGGGCAUUACCUGACGCUGAGGAGCGAAAGUGUGGGGAGCGAACAGGAUUAGAUACCCUGGUAGUCCACACCGUAAACGGUGGGCGCUAGGUGUGGGACUCAUUCCACGAGUUCCGUGCCGCAGCUAACGCAUUAAGCGCCCCGCCUGGGGAGUACGGCCGCAAGGCUAAA